rnacentral:rRNA from 1 species
CUAUGCCGGCGACCGGCGACGGGUGCGUAACGCGUAUGUAACCUACCUUUGACAGGGGGAUAACAUCGAGAAAUUGGUACUAAUACCCCAUAACAUCACCGGAGGCAUCUUCGGUGGUUGAAAACUCAGGUGGUCAGAGAUGGACAUGCGUUGUAUUAGCUAGUUGGUGAGGUAACGGCUCACCAAGGCGACGAUACAUAGGGGGACUGAGAGGUCAACCCCCCACAUUGGUACUGAGACACGGACCAAACUCCUACGGGAGGCAGCAG